GAAAGGUGUGCUAAUACCGGAUACGUCUAUGUUAAUAUCUUUUUUAUAGAGAAAGGUGGCCUCUGAUUCAAGCUACUGUGCGGGGAGGAGCUUGCGUACCAUUAGCUAGUUGGUAGGGUAACGGCCUACCAAGGCGACGAUGGUUAGCGGGUCUGAGAGGAUGAUCCGCCACACUGGAACUGAAACACGGACCAGACUCCUACGGGAGGCAGCAGUGAGGAAUAUUGCGCAAUGGGGGCAACCCUGACGCAGCGACGCCGCGUGGAUGAUGAAGGCCUUCGGGUUGUAAAAUCCUGCCAGAUGGGAAGAAGUGCUAUAUGGUUAAUAUCUGUAUAGUUUGACGGUACCAUCAAAGGAAGCACCGGCUAACUCCGUGCCAGCAGCCGCGGUAAUACGGAGGGUGCAAGCGUUGUUCGGAAUUACUGGGCGUAAAGCGCGCGUAGGCGGCUAUGUAAGUCAGAUGUGAAAGCCCGCGGCUCAACCGUGGAAGUGCAUUUGAAACUGUAUAGCUUGAGUACUGGAGGGGGUAGUGGAAUUCCCGGUGUAGAGGUGAAAUUCGUAGAUAUCGGGAGGAAUACCGGUGGCG
rnacentral:rRNA from 1 species